ensembl:lncRNA
AAAUUUCGCACCCACUCAAGGAGCUUACAUCCUCCCAGAACAGAAGUUUGGAGGGGAGCAUGAAAGAAACAGAAGUCAGGCGAUUUAUCAGAACUCCAGUGAUUUUGCAGCGUUGUUUUGACGAUCCAGAGAAACACUCAGAAGAACCUACAGAAAGAGUACUACCACCAAUGUCCAAAACAUUACAAAGGACUCGUAUCUGAACACUCUGCAUCUCAAGUCCAAUGCUGCACCAGGUGAGCUACCAAGCAAGUUUACUCUAUCAUAAAAGUCACAUGUGGAGCUGGUUAUAUGGUGCAAAUGUCAAAAUGUAUUAAUUUAUGAAUCAUGCACUAUGGUAAAAGCAUUUUGAGGUCAUAACAUAGUAAUGAGCAAGGAAUCAUGGAAAAAAUAAGCAUUUUUUUUCACAAAUAACUUGCCUCCUAAUGAUAAUUUAUGUGAAAAGUACAGAAGAGGAUGAGGGCCACGAAAUAAUAAAAAAAUAAAAAUAAAACCA